GCCACAGUGACCAGGAUCCAGCUGAUGUUUCUCAUUCUGACCUUUAAACCGACCCAACAUUUGUAAUUUAAAAAAAAAAAUCAAGACAGUUACUGGAAAUAAGAAAACAGUUGGACAGCAUUGAUGUCUGACGAUGACAUCAUUGGCAAAGGCAGGGCCAUCUCCCACGGGUGAAGAGGUGCGGUUCGCUGAUUGCUGCUCCUGGCUUUCGUUGCCCGGUGUUCUCCUACCAGUCCCACAUUCAACAGUACUCUGUUGACAAAAGAGUAAAAGUCUCUGUAGGAAAGUCUAGAAGAUCAGCAACAUGACAUGUUGGCCAAAGGACUUUGCAGCAGGGUUUCCAAUGAGAGCUACGUGUAUCUGGACUAUUACAGAGAACACAGUGGGAUAUCCUGAUAGCUGGUGUUUUUACCAACUGCAACAGGAUGCAUGUACAAUACUUAGAGACGUUAUUUAUUGAAAUGUUGUUAUUCAAAAGUUUAUUUUCUUUUGGUAGUUUUCAUUGUUUUGUUGGUAUGUA